UUUACCGGAACUUUUGGAACUUGUUUCUGUUUACGUAAACAAAUUUCCCCGUCAUAAUACUUUUUGAAAAGUUUAUCUUAAAUUCCUAACCCAAGCUAUGCCUUUUACGAGGUGUUUGAUUCCUGCUGUUAGCAGAUUUGUUAUUUUAUUCGAAACUACCCUAAACUAGUGCAGCGUCACUUCCUGUUUUGACUCAUUUCAAUUUUCAGAAUUUUUACGAUUUGGAACACUGAACAGCUUGGCAAAGUUGACGGUCUUAUGAUUGGAUCUCUUUUAUUGGCACAUCUAUAAGAGUAUAAGUUUAUAACGGAUAACAAUUGUUUUUGCCUGGAUUGGAAUCAACUGAACAAAACCAAGUAGAUAGACACUGAUUUGUGUUCACACCAGUUCACUGACUAGGGUGCAGUUGUCAUUCCGAUUACAAACUUAAACAGUAACUCUACUAACUGAGAAGCCAGAAGGGUUCUACCUUAUUUCUUACUUACUGGUGAUAAUAAACACAGAUACAGCUUAGAAGAAUCCAGCAGCCAUGCGUCUGUACUCACUCUCUAUUUUGUUCAAGACGGCCGAUGGACAGGUUAAGCAGUUGAAAGCUGCCCAUGACGUGGCUUCAUUUGGAUAUUUUCAAAGAGGAAGUAUUCGGGAGUUUAUGGAUUUCACCAGUAAAAUUCUCGUUGAGAGAACUUCCAUUUGUUCGAGAACAUCAGUCAAAGAACAGGAAUAUAUUUGCCACGUGUAUGUUCGCAGUGAUUCGCUAGCAGGCGUGGUUAUUGCUGAUCAUGAGUACCCCAAGAGGGUGGCCCACACGUUGCUCAACAAGGUGCUUGAUGAAUUUUGUGCCAAGUAUCCCAAAGGAACUUGGAAUAUACCAGAAAGUAGUAUAAAUUUUCCAGUUUUACCCCAGUACUUAGAAAAAUACCAGAAUCCAAAGGAAGCGGAUGCCAUGACAAAGAUACAGACAGAGUUAGAUGAAACAAAAAUUAUUCUUCAUGACACAAUUGAAGCUGUGUUAGACCGUGGAGAAAAACUUGAUGAUUUGGUUGACAAAUCGGAGGGGUUGAGCACACAGUCGAAAGCUUUCUAUAAAACAGCCAAAAAGACAAACCAGUGUUGUAUUAUUCUAUGAGUGAGAGAUUCGUAUGUAUUCGCUGUCAACACGUGUCAUGUUUGUUGUGCCAUUCUCAGUGAAACAUUGUCACCUGACAAGGAACACAAGAUGAUCGUCCUCUUGUUAAACUCUCCACCAUUCCACAGAACGAAGCUACAGCACCACUUCUCAUCUUGCAUACAACAGACGCAGUAAUGGUUUAGUGCACACACCUGCUGUCUCGACUGUCUGUCUUGAACCUGUUGGUGGUUAGUGAGAGAGAAGUCGGUGUAGUGGCAUUACACACCUGCUGAGGAGCUGGGCACUCAAUGUGGGUUGAGCCGGUAAUGAGAUACGAACCCAGUACUUGCCAGAGCUUGGCAGUAAAUAUAAAGUUCUGUUGCAUAUGCUGCAAUCAAUACAUAUUGUAAUAGUGUUAUGAGAGUUUGCAGAAAGCAUGCGUGUAUAGCUGCACUUCAAUUACCUAGUUGUUCAUUAUAGUGUUGUAAUAAAAAUAGAUGAAAUAAGGAUAGGAACUAUUUAUUACGUCCCCAGUGAAAAAUGAGCAGUGCAAUAAUGAAAUGAUUUGAGGGGUAUUACAAUGUUCAUGUGCUCUCUUUUUUGUCUUCCUUCUCUAAUUUUUUCUUCUCAAAAUCAUCUUUGUUUAAUAACUGAAACUUUUCAGAUCUGAUGCAAUCAUUAAUUUUACUUUGUUCAAUAUGAGUUUACUUCAAGUCAGUAAUAUAUAAACAUUUUAUGGUACAUAAUAGCAUGGCACUGUGUUAAUACCCAGAUUAUUUACGGCCAUAUAGAUUUUAAAAAUUAAAAAUAUAGAGGCUAUGUCUUUAGGGGGUUCUUAUAAUAGUGUUAACUAAAAACAGCAGUAACUUUUAUUGGGAAUCCAGCCAUAUUUAUCCACAUAACCUUGAAACACAUUAUCCAUUUGAUGUUACAUGUAGACAUGGAUACCGAAGCAGAAACUCGUUUCCCACCAGUCGUCCUACAUGGCAGGGUGGGAUGUUGUUCUGAUGAAGAAUAACACACCACGUAAAAAUAAAAUAAUGGGGGGAGGGGUGGCAGUAAAAGUAUUUAAUCUGUGAUAUUAUCAGCCAAACAAAAAGGGCACAUUCAAUUUUGUAUUUUGAAGAGGUCUUGUUUGAAAUAUUGAUAUUGGCUAUUGAACCUGGAAAAUAAAAUUGAAACAGGUCUCUAUAUUAAGAUUUUGUGCAUAUCCACUGAUGUGCAAUAUGUGUAGAUUACAAGUUUAAUUUCAAUUACUGUUGUACAAUUGAUGUGUGUACAUUGCUUGUCACCUGUCUAAAAUAAACAAUCAUGUUACGA
rnacentral:misc_RNA from 1 species